UACGUAGGGUGCGAGCGUUGUCCGGAAUUAUUGGGCGUAAAGAGCUCGUAGGCGGUGUGUCACGUCGGCCGUGAAAACCUGCAGCUUAACUGUGGGCGUGCGGUCGAUACGGGCAUCACUGGAGUUCGGCAGGGGAGACUGGAAUUCCUGGUGUAGCGGUGAAAUGCGCAGAUAUCAGGAGGAACACCGGUGGCGAAGGCGGGUCUCUGGGCCGAUAUUGACGCUGAGGAGCGAAAGCGUGGGGAGCGAACAGG
rnacentral:rRNA from 1 species